CAGCCUGCAGAAGGAAAAGUCUGGAGUGACCCAGAGCAGCGCAGUGCUGCAUGGCAGAGGCAGCAUCCCGGGUCCUGGGCCGAGUCCUCCUACGGGGCACUGACUUGGCCCUACCUCCGUACCAGGAUGGUAGUCAUGGCACCUGGGGUCUCCAGCAGCUUCUUCCUGUGGGCCACCUCUGGUCAAGGCAAACUUCUUACUGCACAGAUAGGAAACUGGAACUCAGAAGGCAAAGGCGGCCAUCACUUACGAUCAAGUCGGCGGAGGGAACACAAUCCAGGAAGUCCGGCCUGCUGCUGUCUGUCCUAGCCCACCUGUCCCCCAAAGCCCAGGAUGCACCCCGAUCAGAAGCUGCUGUCCGUAUUGGUUUAACUUCUACAUACAGAAGGCCAGCUAGUGGAGGCUAGCCCCCACCAGGGCUCCCCACUGCUGCGAGGCUACCUUGGGACACGAACCAAAGAGGCCUGCAGAGGCGCGUGCAGAUGGGGAAGAAGUACAUUUAGUGCACUUCAGUCAUUUUCAUAGAGGAAUGGAUGUCAAGCUGGCAUUAGACAUUUCCACAUUGUGUCACCUCAGGAACAAGCUAAGCUCCCUGUUGCCUUAGAUGAACAGUUUAUUCUGACACAAUGCAUGCAGUUCUAAGGUUGACCGCUAGAUGGCAACAUAGACAUCCAUAAGGGACUUGGCAGCAGCAAAAACACACCUUUCUGGAGAUCCAGGCAGGCUCUAUUAUACAUAGCUUUCUAUUUAAAGCAAUAGUAUAAAUAUUUGUGUGGAUAUCAAUUAUGUGUGCUUGCAUAUCAAUUUAAAUAAAGGCAGCAUAGAGAGACAUA